GCCUUCCUGGUGUAGUGGUCAGCACGCUCGACGCGUAACCGAGAGGUCCGGUGGUUCAAUUCCCGGCGAGGGCG
rnacentral:tRNA from 1 species